UAUACCCAAAUCAGAAGUGAAGCACUCAAAGAACACUAUUUUGAAAUCCAUGGAAGAUAAUCUUCAGUGGAUUAGAUUCAGCUCUAGUCAAGAAUAGUGGAAUAACACUAUGAGCUUCGUCCUAGUUCAAUCUCUGAUUUCUUCUCUCAAGAUACCUUCCAACUUACAAACACAGAACACACUCGAGAUACUAUACUUGAAACAACUAAGAAUUUGUAUCGAUAUAGUCGUAGCAGGCACAACAAGCAUUUCAAGAAAUUUGCUACAAAGGAGGAAAGAUUGCAAAACAGGCUAAUGAAACUUGAUGAAGGUGAAUGAAAAUUCUUGAUGGAAUAUUUCAGC